AUUUAAAUAGCUUAUAUUAGAGCAUAACAUUGAAGCUGUUAAGGAGAUAAAUUAUCUUUAAAUA
rnacentral:tRNA from 1 species